rnacentral:lncRNA from 1 species
UGCCAUUUAAGCGCGGGCGGAAAUCAAAAUGACUUUAAAAUUCAUAAUUCGGUGUUAAAAUAAGUAAAGUUUGGCUGUAAUUAUUUAUUAUUGAUUAAAAAUUGUACCACAAAGGAAUAUGUAAAUAUAAGUUAGUAAAGUAAUCCAACCUACAGAAUACGGAGCGAGUACACCAGCAAUGCCACCUAUUCCGUUUACAAUAGCCAUAACUGUAGCUGAAUAGUUGGGUGUCAUAUCGUUUGCAGUUAGCUUUAUUCCUGCAUAAAAACCGCCCAUGAGUGCCAUUGAGAUGGAAAAACUUAAAAUUAUCCACACUGUAUCACAACCAAUAUAUACGGCUAUAACCAUGAAGAGCCCAGAAGGUGUGGCAGCUAGUGUGCAAAAAAUGUGUGUGAUAAUAUACAUUUAAUUAAGCGCCAUCUCUCGACAUACCUACGAAUGCCAUCAGUUUUCGCAUAACCGUCACGGAGAAUAUCUCAUAAUUGACUAGCAAAUCCGAGAUCACACCGGACAGAACAGACAGCAACCAAUUCAUAAUAUACG